UGGGGAAUAUUGGACAAUGGGGGCAACCCUGAUCCAGCAAUGCCGCGUGUGUGAAGAAGGUCUUCGGAUUGUAAAGCACUUUCGACGGGGACGAUGAUGACGGUACCCGUAGAAGAAGCCCCGGCUAACUUCGUGCCAGCAGCCGCGGUAAUACGAAGGGGGCUAGCGUUGCUCGGAAUGACUGGGCGUAAAGGGCGUGUAGGCGGUUUACACAGUCAGAUGUGAAAUCCCCGGGCUUAACCUGGGAGCUGCAUUUGAUACGUGUAGACUAGAGUGUGAGAGAGGGUUGUGGAAUUCCCAGUGUAGAGGUGAAAUUCGUAGAUAUUGGGAAGAACACCGGUGGCGAAGGCGGCAACCUGGCUCAUGACUGACGCUGAGGCGCGAAAGCGUGGGGAGCAAACAGGUUAGAU
rnacentral:rRNA from 1 species